rnacentral:snRNA from 1 species
AUGUCGAGUUAUUACACGUGUAGU